UUUAAGUGUAACUAUAAGUUUUCGUGCCAAAAGCUUUAAUCGUCCGUCUUAUUUGAAAUGUUUUUAUAAUUAGUAUUUUUAUUGUUAUGAAAUGAUAAAACAUGAAUAGUACUUAUGCUUGAUUUAUUUUUAAUUUUUUUAAAAAAAAUUAAAUAAGAUGGACGAUCAAAAUUGGGCACGGAAAAUCAUGGCUGCACUUAAA
rfam:Oryza barthii chromosome 1, whole genome shotgun sequence.